rnacentral:rRNA from 1 species
CAAGUCGAACGAGAGACCUUCGGGUCUCUAGUGGCGAACGGGUGAGUAACACGUUUGGAACCUGCCCGCGCACCGGGAAUACGCUCUGGAAACGGAGAACAAAUCCCGAUGUACAGGAAGGAGGCAUCUUCUUUCUGUGAAACAUCCUUUAGGGGAUGGGGCGCGGAUGGACCUGCGGUGCAUUAGUUGGUUGGCGGGGUAAAGGCCCACCAAGACGAUGAUGCAUAGCCGGCCUGAGAGGGCGGACGGCCACAUUGGGACUGAGACACGGCCCAGACUCCUGCGGGAGGCAGCAGUAGGGAAUUUUCGUCAAUGGGCGCAAGCCUGAACGAGCGAUGCCGCGUGAGUGAAGAAGGCCUUCGGGUCGUAAAGCUCUGUUGCGGGGGAAAAAAGGCAGCAUCAGGAAAUGGGUGCUGACUGAUGGUGCCCCGCCAGAAAGUCACGGCUAACUACGUGCCAGCAGCCGCGGUAAUACGUAGGUGGCGAGCGUUAUCCGGAAUGAUUGGGCGUAAAGGGUGCGCAGGCGGUCCUGCAAGUCUGGAGUGAAACGCAUGAGCUCAACUCAUGCAUGGCUUUGGAAACUGGAGGACUGGAGAGCAGGAGAGGGCGGUGGAACUCCAUGUGUAGCGGUAAAAUGCGUAGAUAUAUGGAAGAACACCAG